rnacentral:rRNA from 1 species
GCCAGACUCCUACGGGAGGCAGCAGUGGGGAAUAUUGCACAAUGGGGGGAAACCCUGAUGCAGCGACGCCGCGUGGGUGAAGAAGCGCCUCGGCGCGUAAAGCCCUGUCAGCAGGGAAGAAAAUGACGGUACCUGAAGAAGAAGCCCCGGCUAACUACGUGCCAGCAGCCGCGGUAAUACGUAGGGGGCAAGCGUUAUCCGGAUUUACUGGGUGUAAAGGGGGCGCAGACGGCGAUGCAAGCCAGGAGUGAAAGCCCGGGGCCCAACCCCGGGACUGCUCUUGGAACUGCGUGGCUGGAGUGCAGGAGGGGCAGGCGGAAUUCCUGGUGUAGCGGUGAAAUGCGUAGAUAUCAGGAGGAACACCGGUGGCGAAGGCGGCCUGCUGGACUGCAACUGACGUUGAGGCCCGAAAGCGUGGGGAGCAAACAGGAUUAGAUACCCCAGUA